ACUCCUGCGGGAGGCAGCAGUGGGGAAUAUUGGACAAUGGGCGCAAGCCUGAUCCAGCCAUGCCGCGUGAGUGAUGAAGGCCCUAGGGUUGUAAAGCUCUUUCACCGGUGAAGAUAAUGACGGUAACCGGAGAAGAAGCCCCGGCUAACUUCGUGCCAGCAGCCGCGGUAAUACGAAGGGGGCUAGCGUUGUUCGGAUUUACUGGGCGUAAAGCGCACGUAGGCGGACUAUUAAGUCAGGGGUGAAAUCCCGGGGCUCAACCCCGGAACUGCCUUUGAUACUGGUAGUCUUGAGUUCGAGAGAGGUGAGUGGAAUUCCGAGUGUAGAGGUGAAAUUCGUAGAUAUUCGGAGGAACACCAGUGGCGAAGGCGGCUCACUGGCUCGAUACUGACGCUGAGGUGCGAAAGCGUGGGUAGCAAACAGGAUUAGAUACCCGUGUAGUCCCAUG
rnacentral:rRNA from 1 species